UACAGAGGGUGCGAGCGUUGUUCGGAAUUAUUGGGCGUAAAGGGCGCGUAGGCGGUGCGGUAAGUCACCUGUGAAAUCUCCUGGCUCAACUGGGAGCUUGCAGGCGAAACUGCCGUGCUGGAGUGUGGGAGAGGUGAGUGGAAUUCCCGGUGUAGCGGUGAAAUGCGUAGAUAUCGGGGAAGAACACCCGUGGCGAAGGCGGCUCUCUGGGGACGGUACUGACGCUGAGACGCGAAAGCGUGGGGAGCGAACAGG
rnacentral:rRNA from 1 species